rnacentral:rRNA from 1 species
GAUGAACGCUAGCUACAGGCUUAACACAUGCAAGUCGAGGGGCAGCAUGACGAUAGCUUGCUAUUGUUGAUGGCGACCGGCGCACGGGUGAGUAACGCGUAUCCAACCUUCCCGUUGCUAGGGGAUAACCUUGCGAAAGUAAGACUAAUACCCUAUGAAGUUCUUCGCAGGCAUCUAAAGAGAACGAAAGAUUUAUCGGCAACGGAUGGGGAUGCGUCUGAUUAGGUUGUUGGCGGGGUAACGGCCCACCAAGCCCACGAUCAGUAGGGGUUCUGAGAGGAAGGUCCCCCACAUUGGAACUGAGACACGGUCCAAACUCCUACGGGAGGCAGCAGUGAGGAAUAUUGGUCAAUGGACGGAAGUCUGAACCAGCCAAGUAGCGUGCAGGAAGACGGCCCUAUGGGUUGUAAACUGCUUUUAUGUGGGAAUAAAGUGAGGGACGUGUCCCUUUUUGUAGGUACCACAUGAAUAAGGACCGGCUAAUUCCGUG